UAAGACGAGCCGUACAAACGUUAUUCGGAAUCACUGGGCUUAAAGGGUGUGUAGGCGGUCCGGCAAGUUGGGUGUGAAAGCCCUCGGCUCAACCGAGGAAUUGCGCUCAAAACUGCCGGACUCGAGGGAGAUAGAGGUGAGCGGAACUUGCGGUGGAGCGGUGAAAUGCGUUGAGAUCGCAAGGAACACCAGUAGCGAAAGCGGCUCACUGGGUCUCUUCUGACGCUGAUGCACGAAAGCUAGGGGAGCGAACGGGAUUAGAUACCCCGGUAGUCCUAGCUGUAAACGAUGAGCACUGGGUUGGAGGCUCCUCCAUAGGCUUCCUGCCGAAGCGAAAGUGUUAAGUGCUCCGCCUGGGGAGUAUGGUCGCAAGGCUG
rnacentral:rRNA from 1 species